ACAGCUGGCCUGAGGAGAGGAGAUUUGAGAAGUGACGGCCCAAGGCACUUUUGCCCGCCGGGAGUCCGGCGGCUGGCAAUACCGCUUCGGCUGAAGUAGGGAUCUGGUUUUUAUUCCGAGUUUAGACCGCCCAACCCAAGGGAGCUGUGAACUAUCGGAGUGAGAGGAGACCUUCAUAUUGGUCUCUGAAGGACCCACUGUACAAGGAGACGAGAGGAAUGACGGUCUUCACAAGAUCAUCGCCCUUCAUUUAUUAUUUUUCCAUCUUCUUUUUUUAUCCUUUUUCAUAGUGAAUUUCUUUGUAGUGUUCCCCACUUUGCAUUAUUGGACUUUUCAUAUAUUGGUAACUUUUGGUGCACCCGAAUAACCAAACAAACGGGUUUUUAUUCAUUUCACUGUUCUUUAAUUAAAUCAAAAGGGGAAAAGAUGCUAAAAAUAGGGGGGAAAAUGUAAUGAAUGACUCGGAUUGAGAAGAAGUAGAAAGCCACGCUCACAUUUUAGCUAAAUAGAUACAUUUGACAGAAAAAAAAAAAACUUUGGCGCAUGUUUGGUGCACAACGUUAAUAAAUAGAGAAAAGUCAACUUCAACAAAAUAUAAACAGAAUUCUAACAGUACAUAAGGGUUGAUAGGUGACAGCUAGAGAUGAGCGAACU